UGCGGCAUGCGGGAUCUAGUUCCCUGACCAGGGAUUGAACCCAGGUCCCCUGCAUUGGGAGUGUGGAGUCUUAACCACUGGACCACCAGGGAAGCCCCUGAUUUGAUUUUUUAAAUGCAUGGUAUAUUUGAUGCAGAAUUAAAAAGGAGUAUGCUGAGAAGCUUCCCCCCCGUCCUACCCGCAGCACCCUGGUGGGCUUAUUGGGGUGUCUCAGUCCUUUGUGGGCUGCUGUAACGAAAUACCACAGGCUGGGCAGCUUGUAAACAAUAUAUAUUUAUUUUUCUCAGUUCUGGAGGCUGGAAGUCCAAGAUCAGGGUACCAGCACAGUCAGCUUUGUGGGAGGGCCCUCUUCCAGGUCACAGACUGCCAUCUCGCCAUGUCCUCACAUGGUGGAAGGGGCUUAUGGGAUCUCAGUUCCCUGAAUCUGGGCCACAACAGUGAAAGCACUGACUCCUAACCACUAGACCACCAGGGAACUCCUGAACGGGGACACGGGUUCGAGCCCUGGUCUGGGAGGAUCCCACAUGCCACGGAGCAACUAGGCCCGUGAGCCACAACUACUGAGCCUGCGCGUCUGGAGCUUGUGCUCCGCAACGGGAGAGGCUGCGACAGUGAGAGGCCCGUGCACCGCGAUGAAGAGUGGCCCCCACUUGCCACUAGAGAAAGCCCACGCACAGAAACGAAGACCCA